AUUGAACGCUGGCGGUAGGCCUAACACAUGCAAGUCGAACGCGAAAGUCCUUCGGAGUGAGUAGAGUGGCGGACGGGUGAGUAACGCGUAGGAAUCUGUCCUGUAGUGGGGGAUAACGUUUCGAAAGGAACGCUAAUACCGCAUACGCCCUACGGGGGAAAGCGGGGAGUCUUCGGACCUCGCGCUAGAGGAGGAGCCUGCGUCGGAUUAGCUAGUUGGUGAGGUAAAGGCUCACCAAGGCGACGAUCCGUAGCUGGUCUGAGAGGAUGAUCAGCCACACCGGAACUGAGACACGGUCCGGACUCCUACGGGAGGCAGCAGUGGGGAAUAUUGCGCAAUGGGCGAAAGCCUGACGCAGCCAUACCGCGUGUGU
rnacentral:rRNA from 1 species